rnacentral:rRNA from 1 species
UACGAAGGGGGCUAGCGUUGUUCGGAAUUACUGGGCGUAAAGGGCGCGUAGGCGGCCUUCUAAGUCGAACGUGAAAUCCCUGGGCUCAACCCAGGAACUGCGUCCGAGACUGGGAGGCUUGAAUCCGGGAGAGGGAUGCGGAAUUCCAGGUGUAGCGGUGAAAUGCGUAGAUAUCUGGAGGAACACCGGUGGCGAAGGCGGCAUCCUGGACCGGGAUUGACACUGAGGCGCGAAAGCCAGGGGAGCAAACGGG